rnacentral:lncRNA from 1 species
UAGAAAAGAAAACCCCAUUUUGGGGGUAGAAAUUCAAGCUAGCUGUAUAAAUUUGCAUAAGUAAUGAGAAGCCAAAUAUUAAUCACCAAGACAAUGGACAAAUGUCUUCAGGGCAUGUCAGAGACCUUCACAGCAGCCCAUCCCAAUCACAGGCAUGGAGGCCCCACUCUAUGCAGCCUCAGGACAUGGUGCCCCCUGCAUCUCAGCUGCUUCAGCUCCAGCCAUGGUUAAAAGGGGCCACUGUACAACUCAGGCUGUUGCUUCAGAGGGUGCAAGCUCCAAACCUUGGCAGCUUACACAUGGUGUUGAGCCUGUGGGUGCACAGAAGUCAAGAAUUGAGGG